GUGGAGGAUUGCAAAUGUCUCU
rnacentral:miRNA from 1 species